UGAUAUGAUACACCACCCUGAACACGCCCAGCUCUUCUGAUCUCGGAAGCUAAGCAGGAUUGCGCCUGGUUAGUUUUUCAAUGGGAAACCGCUUGGAAAUACCAGUUGCUGUAAACU
rfam:Oreochromis niloticus linkage group LG13, whole genome shotgun sequence.